rnacentral:rRNA from 1 species
AGCGUACACGGUGGAUGCCCUGGCAGUCAGAGGCGAUGAAGGACGUGCUAAUCUGCGAUAAGCGUCGGUAAGGUGAUAUGAACCGUUAUAACCGGCGAUUUCCGAAUGGGGAAACCCAGUGUGUUUCGACACACUAUCAUUAACUGAAUCCAUAGGUUAAUGAGGCGAACCGGGGGAACUGAAACAUCUAAGUACCCCGAGGAAAAGAAAUCAACCGAGAUUCCCCCAGUAGCGGCGAGCGAACGGGGAGCAGCCCAGAGCCUGAAUCAGUGUGUGUGUUAGUGGAAGCGUCUGGAAAGGCGCGCGAUACAGGGUGACAGCCCCGUACACAAAAAUGCACAUACUGUGAGCUCGAUGAGUAGGGCGGGACACGUGGUAUCCUGUCUGAAUAUGGGGGGACCAUCCUCCAAGGCUAAAUACUCCUGACUGACCGAUAGUGAACCAGUACCGUGAGGGAAAGGCGAAAAGAACCCCGGCGAGGGGAGUGAAAAAGAACCUGAAACCGUGUACGUACAAGCAGUGGGAGCACGCUUAGGCGUGUGACUGCGUACCUUUUGUAUAAUGGGUCAGCGACUUAUAUUCUGUAGCAAGGUUAACCGAAUAGGGGAGCCGAAGGGAAACCGAGUCUUAACUGGGCGUUAAGUUGCAGGGUAUAGACCCGAAACCCGGUGAUCUAGCCAUGGGCAGGUUGAAGGUUGGGUAACACUAACUGGAGGACCGAACCGACUAAUGUUGAAAAAUUAGCGGAUGACUUGUGGCUGGGGGUGAAAGGCCAAUCAAACCGGGAGAUAGCUGGUUCUCCCCGAAAGCUAUUUAGGUAGCGCCUCGUGAAUUCAUCUCCGGGGGUAGAGCACUGUUUCGGCAAGGGGGUCAUCCCGACUUACCAACCCGAUGCAAACUGCGAAUACCGGAGAAUGUUAUCACGGGAGACACACGGCGGGUGCUAACGUCCGUCGUGAAGAGGGAAACAACCCAGACCGCCAGCUAAGGUCCCAAAGUCAUGGUUAAGUGGGAAACGAUGUGGGAAGGCCCAGACAGCCAGGAUGUUGGCUUAGAAGCAGCCAUCAUUUAAAGAAAGCGUAAUAGCUCACUGGUCGAGUCGGCCUGCGCGGAAGAUGUAACGGGGCUAAACCAUGCACCGAAGCUGCGGCAGCGACGCUUAUGCGUUGUUGGGUAGGGGAGCGUUCUGUAAGCCUGCGAAGGUGUGCUGUGAGGCAUGCUGGAGGUAUCAGAAGUGCGAAUGCUGACAUAAGUAACGAUAAAGCGGGUGAAAAGCCCGCUCGCCGGAAGACCAAGGGUUCCUGUCCAACGUUAAUCGGGGCAGGGUGAGUCGACCCCUAAGGCGAGGCCGAAAGGCGUAGUCGAUGGGAAACAGGUUAAUAUUCCUGUACUUGGUGUUACUGCGAAGGGGGGACGGAGAAGGCUAUGUUGGCCGGGCGACGGUUGUCCCGGUUUAAGCGUGUAGGCUGGUUUUCCAGGCAAAUCCGGAAAAUCAAGGCUGAGGCGUGAUGACGAGGCACUACGGUGCUGAAGCAACAAAUGCCCUGCUUCCAGGAAAAGCCUCUAAGCAUCAGGUAACAUCAAAUCGUACCCCAAACCGACACAGGUGGUCAGGUAGAGAAUACCAAGGCGCUUGAGAGAACUCGGGUGAAGGAACUAGGCAAAAUGGUGCCGUAACUUCGGGAGAAGGCACGCUGAUAUGUAGGUGAAGUCCCUCGCGGAUGGAGCUGAAAUCAGUCGAAGAUACCAGCUGGCUGCAACUGUUUAUUAAAAACACAGCACUGUGCAAACACGAAAGUGGACGUAUACGGUGUGACGCCUGCCCGGUGCCGGAAGGUUAAUUGAUGGGGUUAGCGCAAGCGAAGCUCUUGAUCGAAGCCCCGGUAAACGGCGGCCGUAACUAUAACGGUCCUAAGGUAGCGAAAUUCCUUGUCGGGUAAGUUCCGACCUGCACGAAUGGCGUAAUGAUGGCCAGGCUGUCUCCACCCGAGACUCAGUGAAAUUGAACUCGCUGUGAAGAUGCAGUGUACCCGCGGCAAGACGGAAAGACCCCGUGAACCUUUACUAUAGCUUGACACUGAACAUUGAGCCUUGAUGUGUAGGAUAGGUGGGAGGCUUUGAAGUGUGGACGCCAGUCUGCAUGGAGCCGACCUUGAAAUACCACCCUUUAAUGUUUGAUGUUCUAACGUUGACCCGUAAUCCGGGUUGCGGACAGUGUCUGGUGGGUAGUUUGACUGGGGCGGUCUCCUCCUAAAGAGUAACGGAGGAGCACGAAGGUUGGCUAAUCCUGGUCGGACAUCAGGAGGUUAGUGCAAUGGCAUAAGCCAGCUUGACUGCGAGCGUGACGGCGCGAGCAGGUGCGAAAGCAGGUCAUAGUGAUCCGGUGGUUCUGAAUGGAAGGGCCAUCGCUCAACGGAUAAAAGGUACUCCGGGGAUAACAGGCUGAUACCGCCCAAGAGUUCAUAUCGACGGCGGUGUUUGGCACCUCGAUGUCGGCUCAUCACAUCCUGGGGCUGAAGUAGGUCCCAAGGGUAUGGCUGUUCGCCAUUUAAAGUGGUACGCGAGCUGGGUUUAGAACGUCGUGAGACAGUUCGGUCCCUAUCUGCCGUGGGCGCUGGAGAACUGAGGGGGGCUGCUCCUAGUACGAGAGGACCGGAGUGGACGCAUCACUGGUGUUCGGGUUGUCAUGCCAAUGGCACUGCCCGGUAGCUAAAUGCGGAAGAGAUAAGUGCUGAAAGCAUCUAAGCACGAAACUUGCCCCGAGAUGAGUUCUCCCUGACUCCUUGA